rnacentral:miRNA from 1 species
AAGGUUGAUGCCUCCUUCCCCACCUUGCACCUCUGGUCAGACCCAGUGACAAGUAACCCCACAGGGCUGUGACCCAGUUCCCUCCAAUGAGCAGAUGCUCCAGGGGGUUGUGCCUGCUGAGUCACAGGCAGUCUCCUUGGCCAGACCUCCUUACUC